CCUACGGGAGGCAGCAGUGGGGAAUAUUGGACAAUGGGGGCAACCCUGAUCCAGCAAUGCCGCGUGUGUGAAGAAGGCCUGCGGGUUGUAAAGCACUUUCAGUAAGGAAGAAAACCUCAGGGUUAAUAACCCUGUGGCUUGACAUUACUUACAGAAGAAGCACCGGCUAACUCCGUGCCAGCAGCCGCGGUAAUACGGAGGGUGCGAGCGUUAAUCGGAAUUACUGGGCGUAAAGCGCGCGUAGGUGGCUUGGUAAGUCGGAUGUGAAAGCCCAGGGCUUAACCUUGGAAUUGCAUUCGAUACUGCCUGGCUAGAGUAUAAUAGAGGAAAGUAGAAUUCCCGGUGUAGCGGUGAAAUGCGUAGAUAUCGGGAGGAAUACCAGUGGCGAAGGCGACUUUCUGGAUUAAUACUGACACUGAGGUGCGAAAGCGUGGGUAGCAAACAGGAUUAGAUACCCUGGUAGUCCACGCCCUAAACUAUGUCAACUAGCCGUUGGAGGAAUUUAAUCCUUUAGUGGCGCAGCUAACGCGUUAAGUUGACCGCCUGGGGAGUACGGCCGCAAGGUUAAAACUCAAANGAAUUGACGGA
rnacentral:rRNA from 1 species